rnacentral:rRNA from 1 species
GGCGCACGGGUGCGUAACGCGUAUACAACCUACCUUUUAGCGGGGAAUAGCCCAGGGAAACUUGGAUUAAUGCCCCAUAGUAUAUAGACUUCUCCUGAAGUUUAUAUUAAACAUUUAUGGCUAUUAGAUGGGUAUGCGUCCUAUUAGUUAGUUGGUAAGGUAACGGCUUACCAAGGCAGCGAUAGGUAGGGGUCCUGAGAGGGAGAUCCCCACACUGGUACUGAGACACGGACCAGACUCCUACGGGAGGCAGCAGUGAGGAAUAUUGGACAAUGGGCGAGAGCCUGAUCCAGCCAUGCCGCGUGCAGGAAGACUGCCCUAUGGGUUGUAAACUGCUUUUACAGAGGAAGAACCACCCCCACGUGUGGGGGUUUGACGGUACUCUGCGAAUAAGGAUCGGCUAACUCCGUG